rnacentral:rRNA from 1 species
AGAGUGAACGCUGGCGGUAGGCCUAACACAUGCAAGUCGAACGGCAGCACGGUAAGAGCUUGCUCUUAUGGGUGGCGAGUGGCGGACGGGUGAGGAAUACAUCGGAAUCUACCUUUUGGUGGGGGAUAACGUAGGGAAACUUACGCUAAUACCGCAUACGCCCUUCGGGGGAAAGCCGGGGACCAGCAAUGGCCUGGCGCUGAUAGAUGAGCCGAUGUCGGAUUAGCUAGUUGGUGAGGUAAUGGCUCACCAAGGCGACGAUCCGUAGCUGGUCUGAGAGGAUGAUCAGCCACACUGGAACUGAGACACGGUCCAGACCUUCCGA